AACGAACGCUGGCGGCAUGCCUAACACAUGCGAGUCGAACGAGAUCUUCGGGUCUAGUGGCGCACGGGUGCGUAACGCGUGGGAAUCUGCCCUUUGGUUCGGAAUAACAGUUGGAAACGACUGCAAAUACCGGAUGAUGACGAAAGUCCAAAGAUUUAUUGCCAGAGGAUGAGCCCGCGUAGGAUUAGCUAGUUGGUGUGGUAAAGGCGCACCAAGGCGACGAUCCUUAGCUGGUCUGAGAGGAUGAUCAGCCACACUGGGGCUGAGACACGGCCCAGACUCCUACGGGAGGCAGCAGUGGGGAAUAUUGGACGAUGGGCGAAAGCCUGAUCCAGCAAUGCCGCGUGAGUGAUGAAGGCCUUAGGGUUGUAAAGCUCUUUUACCCGGGAUGAUAAUGACAGUACCGGGAGAAUAAGCUCCGGCUAACUCCGUGCCAGCCGCCGCGGUAA
rnacentral:rRNA from 1 species